GACGAACGCUGGCGGCGUGCCUAACACAUGCAAGUCGAGCGGGGAUUUAAGUGGAAGUUCUUCGGAAUGGAGAUUUAAAUUCUAGCGGCGGACGGGUGAGUAACGCGUGAACAAUCUGUCCCGGACAGGGGGAUAACACUUGGAAACAGGUGCUAAUACCGCAUAAGACCACGGCCUCGCAUGGGGCUGAGGUAAAAGGAGCAAUCCGGUUCGGGGUGAGUUCGCGUCCGAUUAGCUAGUUGGUGAGGUAACGGCCCACCAAGGCGACGAUCGGUAGCCGGCCUGAGAGGGUGAACGGCCACAUUGGAACUGAGAGACGGUCCAAACUCCUACGGGAGGCAGCAGUGGGGAAUAGUGGGCAAUGGGCGAAAGCCUGACCCAGCAACGCCGCGUGAGGGAAGAAGGUUUUCGGAGUGUAAACCUCUGUCCUAUGGGACGAAGGAAGUGACGGUACCAUAGGAGGAAGCCCCGGCUAACUACGUG
rnacentral:rRNA from 1 species